GUUUCUGUUCUGCUAAGUCUUUGCAGUUACAGAUUCAUUAAAAAUGUUUUACUAUCAUUCAGAUUCUGAUUCUUCUUAAAUCUUUAUACUUUUUUGACAAUCUGUGUUCCUGCUCUGCAUUAAGGGUAGGGUACAUUGCAUUUUAGUCUAAUGCUAUUCACUUCUUUUUACAUUCACUUUAUUACACAUAUGGCUCCUAAUAUAUGUUACAAUUAGUCUAAUUUUUAAGUUCCUUAUUGCUUUUACUACUACUUAAUCAUCACAGAUAGGCACUAAAAUGUUGAUUAUCACAAGAAUUUCAGGGAACAGCAAUGGCUUCACUAAUUCAUAUGCAGAAAAUUCUAUCAAAUAGGAUGCAACAUUUUUCAAGCAUUGAAAAAGCUGAAUCAAUUGGAUGGUCUCUGCAACUUCUAUCAUUUGCAUGUUUAUCUUUAGCAGCAAAUAUGGAGGAACCCCUUGUUCCUUCUCUCUUGGACCUUCAGGUUUCAACGUGGUUUGAACAGCAAGCCUAUGGCACUCAUCAAGAAGCUCCGCAAGGCGGACUCUGAUGAGCUAAUGAUAGAAGCUGAUAUCACGUGCACAAUACUAAAAAGCUGAUUUUGGUCUGAUUGUUUAUUCUCUUAGCCUUUGUUACACCAUAUGCAUAUUCGAAAGCUUCUUCGUAGGUUGAAAGCCGAAACUGAUCAAAUAUGUCAAGCUCCUGAGUAUUUCAGGGGUAUUUCAGUGUUAUUUGGCCUUCUUAAGGAAGUUCUUAAAAACAGACCUGACUUGAAGUUGGUUGUUAUGAGUGCUACACUUGAAGCUGAAAAGUUUCAGGGAUAUUUUUUUGGAGCUCCUCUAAUGAAAGUUCCUGGAAGGCUACAUCCAGUUGAAAUUUUUUAUACUCAAGAACCAUUUUUUUUUCAUUUUUUACACUCGUCAAAACUGCGGUAUGGUUACCAUUGAUACAUGUGACUCUUUAUUGUAAUAACACUUUCUUGUAAUAAUUUCUUGUGUCUUGUUUUUUUGCAUACAGAAAACAAUUGCUUCUCCAGGGCGUGGUAUUUUGGCCAUGGAUGAAUCCAAUACUACAUGUGGAAAGCGGUUGGAUUCAAUUGAACUAGAGAACACCAAA